rnacentral:rRNA from 1 species
CGAAGGGGGCUAGCGUUGUUCGGAAUCACUGGGCGUAAAGCGCACGUAGGCGGAUUGUUAAGUCAGGGGUGAAAUGCCAAGGCUCAACCUUGGAACUGCCUUUGAUACUGGCAAUCUCGAGUCCGGGAGAGGUGAGUGGAACUGCGAGUGUAGAGGUGAAAUUCGUAGAUAUUCGCAAGAACACCAGUGGCGAAGGCGGCUCACUGGCCCGGUACUGACGCUGAGGCACGAAAGCGUGGGGAGCAAACAGG